CAAUUUUAUCUGAUAAGCCAGAGAAAGUCCAGAAGUGGAAUUACAAAUGACAGGCCAAGAGAAUGAUUUGGGAAACGAAAUUUGAGAAAGGAUUUUUUUUCCUCUUCUCUUCUCUUCUCUUCUCUUCUCUUCUCUUCUCUUCUCUUCUCUUCUCUUCUCUUCUCUUCUCUUCUCUUCUCUUCUCUUGAAGAUGCUGAGCUUGUCAACUGGAAAGCUGGCAGCCCAGGUUCAAGACCCGAAUGCUGUGCAACAGCCAAUAUGGAUUUCCAGAUUCUCAAAAAAAUUAUGGAAAAUUCUAUGCUGUGAAAUUGUAACUCAUCUUUUCUCAAAGUCCUGCCAUCCCUCCUCCACUUGCAACAUUCUAAGCUUUUGAAGAAGUUUGAAGUAUCUAUACAUGAAGUUGUAGAAGCAGAAGACAGAGAGGAGAAUAGAGGGGCACUUUUUAGAAGCAAAAAAAUAGGAAGUCUGCUGUGUAUUUACUAUUCCUUAUGUGCAUGUGCAGAAAAUCACAUAUUUGCCUCUUCUCAUUACAUAAUGUUUUAUAUAAUUAAUUAGCAACAGAACCUCCAUUAAAUGUACCAUAUAAAUACAAAUC